GCAUUAUAGGAAGAAGAAGGGGCAGGGGGCGGCAAGGGGGGGCAGAACAAUGGAAGCCUACCGGUGCUCUUAAUGGCAUGCUCUUUCAUUUUUGAAAAUUGCUCCCCUUUUGGAAUUAUGUAUGCUCGCCGUGCCCUCCUUCAGGGGGUUGGCAUCCAACCAUCGUCUUCCACCUCACCAACACCGGCGGAGGCAGGUCCCAAAGCACGGGGGAGCGCUGCUCCACCUGUGGGAAAUGAACUCUGGCGCAACCCUGUCUUUGUUUCCCCCCCCCCUCAGCCUUGGCAGGCGGCACCACCUCCUUUACAAGCCAGGUAAAUUGUUCAUUAGGGCCGAGGUAUAAAGGGGGGAAAGGAGGUGCCGCAGAGAAGGUUGGGAUUUUUUUUUUCUCUCUUUUUCCCUGGAAGAAGUGUGAAGAACAAACAAGUCGGAGCAUUUGUUCAACGGUGUAAUCUACACAUCAAUUAUCCCGCCGAGCUAAUUAGCACCUCUGCAUACCCCAGGUACCUGAGCGCUCACACAUGCUCCUCUCUUUCAAGCCACUGAUCAAAAAAAAAAAAAAAAAAGAAGAGGACUGACAGAAACACAGGGAGGCAGAACCUAAGGGCUGGCAGCGAUGGUGGUGGUGGGGGGAAGCUUUAGAUCAAAAUUUCCUUUUACUUACAGGGUGAGGGGAGGUUCAGAGUUGUAGUCCAUCACCCAUGGAACUGCAUUGACGCACUAUGAGAAUCCAGAACACCUUACAAAUCGGAUGGGUGUUAUCGUGAACACGCUAACGUGUGGCGUUGUCGGACUGUGUUUUUACUUAGAAGGUUGAAAGUUUGCGUAGUCACAGUUAAGUUUGUUUUAGCGACACCAGUCUGUUAUUAUAAGGUUGCAAGGAAUGUUGGGAGUUACAGGUAUUGUGAAAACGCUAACGUGUAGCAGCGUCAGAUUUUUUUUUCACGUAUCACUAUCAAGUUUUCAAAUUAACGUGGUCAGAGUAAUGUUUGUGUUAGCAGUAUCAGGCUUUUUUUUAGGUGUCGCAAACAAGGUUGGGGGUUACAGUGAUUGUGACUGCACUACCGCGGUAAACGUUGUCGGACACUUUUUUUUCAAAUGUGUUGCUAGCAAGGUUGGGAGUUAGCGUAGUCAAAGUAACAUUUGUUUUAGUGGUAUCAGUGUGUUUUUCGACGCAUGCUAACAAAGUUGGGAGUUUGCGAGAAUGUGCUACCACGACUAUUGCUACUAAUGUUGCUAACGUGUUACAAACAAGUUCUAGGCUAUCUGACAAAAUUACACCUGAUAUUUUUGUGUCACUAAAUAUGCCUUAUAGUUUUGUGUGCCUUUUACUUGACAUACGUUUGAAAAUGAUGUCAUUGUAGUCCAGAAAAUAAGGUAAUUAUGAAAGCUGUCUAUGUGCAGUCAGUAGAGUUCCUUCCUGUCCGUCUUAUCUGAACCAAGAAGUCGGUGUGCAUAAACAGAUCAUGAGGUUGGGGAGGUCAAACAAAUCCGGUUUGCAUCAUGGUUCUCAAAAAAAAAAAAACUCGUCACACAUUCUCAACUCCUACAACGCAAUGAAAAGGGUAGUUUUCGCCCACCUGAGGCUGGGAAAGACAAACAGGUACGGCGCGAGAAAGAAUAGAAUAGACGAAAGGUCCUGUUCGCUUCCACCCACGUAUAAGCCACAGGCUCUAGGGCUUCAGACGGCGGCGGCGGCGCUCCCCGGUUACUGGGGAUCGAGGGUUAACUUGAGUCUCCUCGCUGCCGUCAUGCACCUGCCGUCAACCUGCCGCUGGCCGUGCGAACACGGAGGCGUUUCUCGAGUGUACAUCCUUGAGAAACCUCAUAUUCCGACGCCACUCCCGUUGCCUACGAAACCGUUUCAUUUGAACGUCCUCAUCCUGAGUGAGAUAUUGGCUCCAAGUUGGCUGCAGGAGAUCCAUCGUAGGAGGUAAAGGGAAUUAACUUCCAGGAGCUGGUUUCAGACACUCAGGUUGUUGCCGUGACGAUAAGCUACAACCUCCCCCCCCAUGUAUCUGUCCAGACCCCAACCCCUUUCAUCCUCCACUGCCGCCUCCUCCUACUCUUCGUCUGGCUUGUAGCUAAUUGGGAACUUUGUAACAGUGCUGGAGUUUCCUUUCCUCCGAGGGCUCCCUACAGGCCUCCAGGCUGCGUUUGUUGUAUUCGGUACCUGCGAACACACUCGAUUGUGUGUGUGCGUGUUGGUGUGCAUGUGGGGGUAACAGAUGUGAUUUUACACUCUCAUUAACAUGUGAAUGACACCCCGGGCCUCCGGAUUGGCUCGGACUGUCUAAGAAAAAAGAGGAUUCAGCCCUCCUCCUCACCUGGACCCCCUACCCGUGCGGUUCAUCCCGUCUGAUCUCUUUAGUCCAUCUGAGGUCCCCCCCCGGUACUAAACACAAAGACACAGAUCGACCUUUAAACAGCUGGUGACUGGAGGAGUUUUUAAGACAGCAAGAGGUCCUCUGUCUUUGUCUCUGGUUUGAGAUCUUUUCAGAAAAAAAACAAGGCUAAGCGCAGAGUCGGGGUGUCUUUUUGUCCCGGUUGAGGAGUGAAACAGUUGUUUUAGCUCUCAGGUGCUGUUUUGCCGAGAUAAACGUGGCCAUGGCCCCGUCACCGCGGACAAGAAUGCAAAACAACCUUGUCCAGAUCAAACCGGUUGUUUUGUUUUUUCCUCUGCUUUCCUGGCACAGGCGCUUGUGGAGAAAAGGUGAAAAUCGUCCAGGGUUGAGAGCCCAAGUAAUCCCGAAAUGCCUUGAGAUGCUCAAGUGGGGAUGUAACCUCUGUGAUGUAGGCGUCUUACUUAACUCUAAAGAGAUCCUAAUCACAUCCUGAAAUGUCAUCUUCUAUUUUCUCCCUCUUAGAAUAACGAAAAAAAAA